rnacentral:tRNA from 1 species
GUACGUAGGAUUUUGAGUUCUAUAGUACAGGUUCGUACCCUGUUUUUUUAGUG